CACAACGCCUCUCAUUCCAAGUAAUAAUACUUUAGCCGUGUAGGUCCAUCACUUCCCUCUAUGCGCUUUCCUGUAUGGCCAAUAUAGACCAGUAUUUUACCACACCGUAUAAGCAUAGAACAGACCAUACCAUCUGACUUUGCUCUGCUCUUUUCGAUCUCUUCCUUCUUUCGUUUCCUUUGAUUUCUGCUAUUUCAACUCAACCCAGAAAAUAUGGCCGAGGUUGCAGGCCUACUUCUCUCCCCCUUCCUCCAAGUACUCUUCGAAAGAGUUGCUUCCCGCGAGUUCGUUGACUUCUUUCGAAGCCGAAAACUUGACAGUGGACUCUUAAAGAGGUUGGAGAUAGUGUUGCUGUCUGCGCAUGCGGUGCUCGAAGAUGCAGAGGAAUUGCAAUUUACAAAGGAUGCGGUGAAAAAGUGGCUUGAUGAGCUGAAAGAUGCCGUCUAUGAUGCAGAAGAUAUCCUUGAUGAGAUUCAUACCGAAGUCUUGCGAUGCAAGUUGGAUGCUGAAUUUCAAACUACUUCAACUAAGGUACUAAAAACCAUCUCUACUUCUCUUGAUCCUUUUGUCAGGGAGAUAGAACUAAAGAUAAAAGGUGUACUCGAGACAUUGGAUCAUCUAGUACAACAGAAAGAUGCUAUAGGUUUGAAAGAAGGUGUUGGAGGGAAAUCAACCGGAAGAUUGCCCACUACUUCUUUGGUUACAGAAUCUGAUAUUUUUGGCAGGACUGAUGAUAAGGAGGCAAUAAUUAAUUUGUUGCUGUCAGAUAACGUAAGUGGCAAUUUUGAGUGGUGUGUUAUUGCUAUUAUUGGUAUGGGGGGACUUGGGAAGACAACCCUUGCUCAACUUGUUUAUAAUGACAACAGGAUGGAGAGGCCGCAUUUUGAUCUUAAAGUGUGGGUUUGUGUUUCGGAUGAUUUUGAUGUGUUGAAAAUGACGAAAACAAUGUUAGAGAAACUUGGAUUGUCAACUAACAUUGAUGGUAAGAGUCUAGAUUGGCUUCAAGUUACACUACAACAAAAUCUGACUGGAAAGAAAUUUCUUCUUGUUUUAGAUGAUGUUUGGAAUAAGGAUUAUUCACAAUGGAAGACCUUAAGCAACCCCUUUAAUUCAUGUGCAAAAGGAAGUAGGGUGAUUGUAACCACACGAGAGGAACGUGUUGCAUCAAGUAUGCGCUCUACUACAACUACUAAAAUUUACCAGCUAAAACAUUUACAAGAAGAGGAUUGUUGGUCACUAUUUUCAAAACGUGCAUUUCAUUCUGGCAACUCUGAUGCUCAUCCGAAGUUGGAAGUAAUUGGUAGACAGAUUGUGAAAAGGUGUGGAGGCCUACCCUUGGCAGUCGAGAAAAUUGGAGCUCUCUUGUGCUCUGAACUGGAUGUUACCGAGUGGAAUAAGAUACUGGGGAGCGAAAUAUGGGACUUGCCGAGUAUGGAGGUAAAAGUUUUCCAGAUUGGAUCGGACAUCACUCAUUUUCUAAUAUAGCAUCUCUCCAUCUAAUUAAUUGCAAGUAUUGCUCUGUCUUGCCACCACUCGGACAGCUACCUUCUCUGCAGUCCCUUUCUAUUGUUCAGUUUGAUGGAAUCGAUGCAGUGGGUCGAGACUUUUAUGGCAAUUGUUCUUCUUCAAUGAAACCAUUUGGAGCCUUGAAAGUUUUGAAUUUUAGAGACAUGUCGAAGUUGGAGAAAUGGAUUGCUUUUGGUGCCGAAAAUGAAGGUGGAGCUUUUACUCAUCUUGAACAGCUUGAGAUUGUUAACUGCCCCAAGUUAACAGGAGAGUUGCCCAUCCAUCCUUCUUCUUUAUCCAGACUUGUGAUAGUAAAAUGUCCGUUGUUGGUGACUUCACUUCCAAGUGUUACUACUCUACGUCAACUCAAAAUUGGAGGGUUUGAUGCGCUAGAGUCCAUACCGGAGAGAUUGAUGGACUUCAACAGUAGUUGUCUUGAGGAGUUAGAAAUUAGUGGUUGCCACUCCCUUACAUCUCUGUCCAAUGCUGGUCUACCUUCUACAUUAAAACUCCUUGAGAUCAAAGAUUGUAGCAAGUUAGAGCUUCCAAUGCACGGGAACUAUUCAUCCCUUGAAACAUUGCGGCUUCAAAAUAGUUGUGAUUCUCUGCAGUCCUUUCCAUUAGACUUAUUUCCAAAUCUGGAAUCCAUCAAACUAAUUGGAUGUAGGAAUCUGAAUUCUGUUAAUGUUUCACAAGAACAUGAGAUUGAUUUAUUGGCCUUGUUAUCAAUAAAAAUAAAAGAUUGCCCUAAUUUCGUUUCAUUUCCGAAUGGAGGAUUGCGUGCCCCAAAACUUUCGACGUUUCAAGUCGUCAAUUGUCAGAGUCUGACGUCACUACCUGACAAGAUGCACAUACUCCAUCCGUCUCUUCGAGAAUUGUAUUUAGAGAAGUGUCCAGAAGUUGAGUCAUUCCCUGAAGGAGGCUUGCCUUCCAAACUAGGUUAUAUUUCCAUCAUAGACUGUGACAAACUCUUCGCCAAUAGAAGGGAUUGGGGAUUGCAAAAUCUGCCCUCCAUCCGAUUUAUUUCUAUCAAAGGCAAUUGUAAAGACGUGGAUUCCUUUCCGGAGGCGGGGUUACUUCCCCCUAAUUUGUUCGCUCUUUCCAUCGAUAAUUUUCCAAAUAUGAAAUCUUUGGACUAUGAGGCCCUUCGACACCUCACCUCUCUUGAUACUUUGAGGAUCACUUCCUGCCCUAAGUUGAAGUUUAUGCAUGAAGAAGGGUUGCCUGCCUUCAUUCCUACUCUAUUUAUCAACGAAUGUGCUUUGUUGGAGAAACAGUUGCAAAGCAGAAAAGGAAAAGCAUGGCGUAAGAUUGCUCACAUCCCCUCAUUUAUAUUAAUGGCGAAUUGAUUUGACCAAACUACAAGUCUAGAAAGAGUGCCCAAUUUCAAUUAUAUGAUCUACGACACAUAUGGACGAGGACAAAGUUUGUUCCGGUGAUACGUGUUUCUACACAUCUCCUUUCGGAUGCUCUUCCUUAAUUCCUUUCGAGGUUUUUUAAUAGAGAAACGCUUUAUGUGCUUCGAAUCAAAUUGUUGUGUCCCAUAUCCAUUCCCAAGCUCAUCUGAAGCUCUCCUGCAAUGCUCUGCUUUGCAUCAGCAGUAUCUGAAGCUCUGGCUUGUAGUUGCAACAAAAUCUUGGAAAGGCUUGGUGAUUGUGCAACUUCUUUUGUAGCUUCUCUUGUUCUUAUGUAACCUUGUUUUUGACCAACCACUACAUUUGAUUGUUACUUGUUCCAAUCAAGACUCUUGCCAUUUGUACAGGAUCUACCUAUGCAUGCCAUGCCAAGAAACAGGGCUACUUUUCAGUCGACAUGGGGUGAUCAGCAAACAAUGAAAGAAAGAAGGCUUCCAUCAAGAUGGCUUGGUUAUCGAAAUGAUUACUUUAGGAGUCAUGGAAACAUUAUUGUUGGGACAUUUGGGGAGAUGAUUAAUGUGAGAAACAACAUGAUUUCCAAA